rnacentral:lncRNA from 1 species
UAUUUUAUCAGAUUUAAUACUUGUGAUUCUUAAUGCGGUUAUUAUUUUUUUCUUCUAGAAUCUCCCCAAAGUAAACCUAGCUGAGCUAUGGGCUGCUGCUCACCAAAGCGGGGAAAAGCAAGCAAAAUAUGGCACUGGGGAAUCGGGAAACACAACCCAUCUUGACGACCGUAUUUCUGAUGGUGAAAGCAAAGAUAACGUGGAAACUCAUCCUAAAACAUCAGAUGAUGUUGAGAGCUUCUCUCAGUCUUCCGUCUCAAUUAACAUCAAGUGAAGAAUCAACAGCAUCACUGUUAAAAGCAGCAGAGGGUGAAGGGAGAGGGUGCAAAAAAUAUAAAAGUGGUAAGUUAGUGAAUAUUUCUGAGUGUCUUGUUUAUAUCCUGUUACUUUAAAAGUGUGUAGAUCCAAAACACGAUGCCCAUUUCUUUUGUUUUUUUUUUUGUUUUCCUACCACCAACUUCUUCCCCCACCUGCUGCAACCCUCUGAAAUUCUUUCUCACUGUUACUUUGAUCUCAUUGAAACAUUCAUGAAAGCAGACAGAUUUGUACAUGUAUUUAAAAUUCACAGCAGUAAAUGUUCUCCUUAAUGUGUCUGUGGCUACAUUUUAGAGAUGUGUUGUUGCUACUGGGAUUAAGAAAAGAAGAUGAAUCAUCUUGGGAUUCAGAGAGUAUCUCUGAGAAUCUUCUACAGAAGUCUGUUGAUCAUUUAUCUGGGGCUGCAGAUGAAAAAGGAAACCAUACAGGAAAUACACAAGUAGAAGAAUCAUCUGAGAAAUGUCUUCACUUGAAGGUACUAACUUUAUAUUUAUAUCUUGAAUUAACUACAUGCUUCAUGAAAUGCAUAGUAUUUAUUACAUAUCUCACUUCAAACCCCACUCAGCCUGCCAUUGAAAGGAAACAUCCCAUUCAGAAAAAAGCAGUAGCAAAGGGAGAUUUACGGACAUGCAACUCAGAAGUACCAAAAGAAGGGCAAGAAAGGCUGGAUGGCUGUGAAAAUAUCCAGGAGCAGGUAGUUGUGAGACGCCUUCAACAAGGACUGGCUGACACUCUAAAAAAACCUUCUGUGUCAGAGACUUCCCUGGAAAAUUCAUCACAUUAUCACAUUAAGUUAGAAGAUGAGAAUCGGGAUUUAAAGAAGAAAUUAAACCAAAUCAGAAAACAAGGUCAUAUGUGACUAAACACAUGAGGAAAAGUAUUUUUAAAAAGAUCUUACAUGUGAUGGUGAUAAAACGGAAGACUGACAGAAGCUCUGAACAUCAUCUGAUGGUUUAUGAUGAGUUUCCACAUUAUUUUUGCUUUCACCAUCAGAAAUACUGUUGUCAAGAGGGGUUGUGUUUCCUGGUUUCCCAG